GGAGGUGCUUGGCAAUUACUGCUGUGUUAGAACAGCAGAUAGAUCCUGAGAACUCUGCUCUGGAAAGACAGAAUGGGGAUUUUAUCCUAGUGGAGGAAAGGACUGAGGAGCUCUCUUUAUUUUAUGUAGAGUUCCUUCUAACACCAAAUUGUAAGGAAAAGCCUGUGAAGCCCCUCUUCAAAGCUUUCUUUUUUGGAAUUGUCAUGCUAAAGCAGGAUUUAAUUAAUGCUCUGUAGAUGCUUUUCCAAUGGAAAUGGUCACACUUGGAGAAGAGGAGAUAAAGACCCUCUUGCUUUGCUCUCCACAGUUAAUUUGGCGAACUUUGGUUGGCUGUGGUCCCUGGUAUCUCCCAUGGCCACAGUCUCAGCACUGAAAAUAUCUAUGCAGCAUUCUGAUGGGCGGCAACUGGUCUUCUAAAGCACUUCAAGAAAAAAACUUCAAGAAGUUGAUAAUAGAAAUUGUGCAUCACUUCAGGGUCUUGUGAGGCCACCACGCUAGAUAAAACUUCUUUAAGGCACCUGAGAGAGAGAGAGAAAGAACACCUCCAGAGAGCAGCCUGCUGAUAGAACCUACUUCUAACAAUAUGGUGAGUGUCAUUUUAAA